UUAUAAACGCGUCAAAAGGCUACGUUAAUUAAAUAACUGGCUUGUGGCAGCCAAGCGUUCAUAGCGACGUUGCUUUUUGAUCCUUCGAUGUCGGCUCUUCCUAUCAUUGAGACGCAGAAGUCGCAGAGUGUCGGAUUGUUCACUCGCCAAUAGGGAACGUGAGCUGGGUUUAGACCGUCGUGAGACAGGUUGGUUUUACCCUACUGACAAAGUAGAUACUGCGACAGUAGUCGAAGUUAGUACGAGAGGAGCACUUCGUCCAGAUACUUGGUUAAUGCCGUUGUCUGAAAAGACAGUACGGCGAAGCUACCAUCUGCUGGAUUACGGCUGAACGCCUCUAAGCCGGAAUCCAUGCUGGAUAAGCAGUGUUGUACACCGUGCUCAAUGCUACAAGAAAAAGGCUAGGUCAGGCUUCGGCCUGACCAAAAUUCAAGCUGCUAUACCUCUGGCUGCAUUGACUUGUGGUCGGAGUGUAUGGUGAUCAUAGCAAUUGCAAGUAUUGGGCUCGAUAAAUCCUUUGAAGACGACUUAAUUGCAUCCGGGUAUUGUAAGUGUUGAGAGUAGGCUUAGUCUUACGAUCCACUGAGAUUCAUCCCGUGUUGCGCCGAUUU
rnacentral:ncRNA from 1 species